UAUUAGGUUGGUGCAAAAGUAAUUGCGGUCUUUGCCAUUAAAAGUAAUGGCAAACUGCAAUUACUAUUGCACCAGCUUAAUAU
ensembl:miRNA